UAGAGACCCCUGUAGUCCUAGCCGUAAACUUUGCCUGCUAGCGAUCCGACUUUGGUCGGGUUGCGUAAGCUAACGCGUUAAGCGGGCCGCCUGGGGAGUACGAACGCAAGUUUAAAACUCAAAGGAAUUGACGGGAAGGCGCACAACCAGUGGAGCAUGUGGUUUAAUUCGAAACGAAACGAAGAACCUUACCCAGUCUUGACAUAUUACCGUUUUAGAUUGCCAGAAAUGGCGAUCGAUCCUUAAGUAAUUUUGGAUGGUAUUACAGGUGUUGCAUGGCCGUCGUCAGCUCGUGUCGUAGGUUAACACUUUGCGACCCUUCGAAGCAAUUCGGAGUGCGAAAUCUGGCUCAUAUCGGUGGAACUUCUUAUUUUUAAUAAGAACAAUACCGAGGGAAGUCGACUUAAAUUUUAAGUUUGACCCCGUAACGACUGAUUUUGGUAUUUUUAAAUAUCAAAUGAUAUACAAGAUAAUACGCUUGUAUAACACGCCAGCUCCCGAUUUAAUCGGGAUGAAGGUAUAGUCUAAUUACAGUUACCUUUUAAAGUAAUUGGAGGUGUUCCCUUCAGUGGGGUAACGAGCGCAACCCCUGCCCUGAGUUAAAUAAUCUCAGGGGACUUCCCUCAUUUAUUGCGGGAGGAAGUGGGGACGACGUCAGGUCAGCAUGGCCCUUAUGACUGGGGCAACACACAUACUACAAUG
rnacentral:rRNA from 1 species